UUCACACACGUUAAUUCAUUUAAUUCCAGCCACAAGGUAGGCAGCCUCUGUUAACAUUUUACAAUUGUGAGAACGCAGAGAUCUGGGACUGGCUCAAGGUGACACACUGCAGCAAGGAGUCAGAAUUUGAAUCCGAAGCAGUGUCCUUCCCCCUCGCAACAGCUGCGGCGUUACAAACACAGGUCAGCCACGGAGAAAUUAAUGACCCACAGCCAUCCUUGCAGCUCUGCGCCAUAACUGGGGAGACAAGCUGGUUCCCGUGACUCUUCAGUCUGUUUUCACCCAAGUGCAUGACUGCGGGAGCAAAGCGACCACGUGAGCAUCCCCCCCCCACCCCCCCGCUUCCCCCAGGCGAGGGACAGUGCCAGGCCAAGGACAAGUCACAGGUCCUGCGUGCGCUGAAAGUGCGGCUGGAGGCGCGGACGGCUUUCCGGAGCCCCGAGAGAGGAGCUAGGAAUGACUUUGGUCGCAGCCUCUGUAACCCCGCAUGACGGCCUCUAGGGGGACAGCGAGGUCCCCCUCGAUCUCUGGCUGUAAUCAGCCGGCGGGGCCAGACGGUGCCGAGACUCCAGGGCGAGG
rnacentral:lncRNA from 10 species